rnacentral:rRNA from 1 species
UAGGGAAUCUUCCGCAAUGGACGAAAGUCUGACGGAGCAACGCCGCGUGAGUGAAGAAGGAUUUCGGUUCGUAAAACUCUGUUGUUAGGGAAGAAAAAAUGUAUAGUAACUAUAUACAAAAGAGACGGUACCUAACCAGAAAGCCACGGCUAACUACGUGCCAGCAGCCGCGGUAAUACGUAGGUGGCAAGCGUUGUCCGGAAUUAUUGGGCGUAAAGCGCGCGCAGGUGGUUUAGAAAGUCUGAUGUGAAAGCCCACGGCUCAACCGUGGAGGGUCAUUGGAAACUAAUAAACUUGAGUGCAGGAGAGAAAAGUGGAAUUCCUAGUGUAGCGGUGAAAUGCGUAGAGAUUAGGAGGAAUACCGGUGGCGAAAGCGGCUUUUUGGCCUGCAACUGACACUGAGGCGCGAAAGCGUGGGGAGCAAACAGG